CCUACGGGUGGCAGCAGUGGGGAAUAUUGGGCAAUGGGCGCAAGCCUGACCCAGCAACGCCGCGUGAAGGAAGAAGGCUUUCGGGUUGUAAACUUCUUUUCUCAGGGACGAAGAAAGUGACGGUACCAGAGGAAUAAGCCACCGCUAACUACGUACCAGCAGCCGCGGUAAUACGUAGGAGGAAAGCGUUAUCCGGAUUUAUUGGGUGUAAAGGUCGGGUAGGCGGGAGCGGAAGUCAGAUGUGAAAACUCAGGGCUCAAACCUGAGCCUGCAUUUGAAACUGGGUUUCUUGAGUGAUGGAGAGGCAAUCGGAAGUCCGUGUGUAGCGGUGAAAUGCGUAGAGAUACGGAGGAACACCAGUGGCGAAGGCGGAUUGCUGGACAGUAACUGACGCUGAGGUGCGAAAGCGUGGGGAGCAAACAGGAUUAGAUACCCGGGUAGUC
rnacentral:rRNA from 1 species